AUUGAACGCUGGCGGCAUGCCUUACACAUGCAAGUCGAACGGCAGCGCGGACUUCGGUCUGGCGGCGAGUGGCGAACGGGUGAGUAAUACAUCGGAACGUACCCUGUUGUGGGGGGAUAACUAUUCGAAAGAUUAGCUAAUACCGCAUACGACCUGAGGGUGAAAGUGGGGGACCGCAAGGCCUCACGCAGCAGGAGCGGCCGAUGUCUGAUUAGCUAGUUGGUGGGGUAAAGGCCCACCAAGGCGACGAUCAGUAGCUGGUCUGAGAGGACGAUCAGCCACACUGGGACUGAGACACGGCCCAGACUCCUACGGGAGGCAGCAGUGGGGAAUUUUGGACAAUGGGGGCAACCCUGAUCCAGCAAUGCCGCGUGUGUGGAGAAGGCCUUCGGGUUGUAAAGCACUUUUGUCCGGAAAGAAAUCGCGCUGGUUAAUACCUGGCGUGGAUGACGGUACCGGAAGAAUAAGCACCGGCUAACUACGUGCCAGCCGCCGCUGUAA
rnacentral:rRNA from 1 species